UACGUAGGGUGCAAGCGUUGUCCGGAAUUAUUGGGCGUAAAGAGCUCGUAGGCGGCUCGUCACGUCGGCUGUGAAAACCCGGGGCUUAACCCCGGGCCUGCAGUGGGUACGGGCAGACUAGAGUGCGGUAGGGGAGACUGGAAUUCCUGGUGUAGCGGUGAAAUGCGCAGAUAUCAGGAGGAACACCGGUGGCGAAGGCGGGUCUCUGGGCCGUAACUGACGCUGAGACGCGAAAGCGUGGGGAGCAAACAGG
rnacentral:rRNA from 1 species